GACAGAGGAGCCAAGCGUUGUCCGGAUUGACUGGGCGUAAAGCGCACGCAGGCGGCCCGGCGCGUGGGGUGUGAAAGCUGGCGGCUUAACUGCCAGACGCCAUCCCAUACGGCUGGGCUCGAGCCCUGCAGACGGUCCAUGGAAUUGCCGGUGUAGUGGUGAAAUGCGUAGAGAUCGGCAGGAACACCCAGGGGGAAACCAGUGGA
rnacentral:rRNA from 1 species